rnacentral:rRNA from 1 species
GACAGAGGGUGCAAACGUUGUUCGGAAUUACUGGGCGUAAAGCGCGUGUAGGCGGCCAUCUAAGUCGGGCGUGAAAUCCCACGGCUCAACCGUGGAAGUGCACUCGAAACUGGAUGGCUAGAGUCCUGGAGAGGAAGGUGGAAUGCUUGGUGUAGAGGUGAAAUUCGUAGAUAUCAAGCGGAACACCGGUGGCGAAGGCGGCCUUCUGGACAGUGACGUGACGCUGAGACGCGAAAGCGUGGGGAG